UACGGGGGGGGCAAGCGUUGUUCGGAAUUACUGGGCGGAAAGGGCUCGUAGGCGGCCAACUAAGUCAGACGUGAAAUCCCCAGGCUCAACCUGGGAACUGCGUCUGAUACUGGAUGGCUUGAAUCCGGGAGAGGGAUGCAGAAUUCCAGGUGUAGCGGUGAAAUGCGUAGAUAUCUGGAGGAAUACCGGUGGCGAAGGCGGCAUCCUGGACCGGCAUUGACGCUGAGGAGCGAAAGCUAGGGGAGCAAACGGG
rnacentral:rRNA from 1 species